AGAGUUUGAUCAUGGCUCAGGAUGAACGCUGGCGGCGUGCUUAACACAUGCAAGUCGAACGAACCUUCGGGUUAGUGGCGGACGGGUGAGUAACGCGUGAGAAUCUGCCCUCAGGAGGGGGAUAACGGUUGGAAACGACCGCUAAUACCCCAUAUGCCUAUUGGUGAAACGAAUUUCGCCUGAGGAUGAGCUCGCGUCUGAUUAGCUAGUUGGUGAGGUAAUGGCUCACCAAGGCUUCGAUCAGUAGCUGGUCUGAGAGGAUGAUCAGCCACACUGGGACUGAGACACGGCCCAGACUCCUACGGGAGGCAGCAGUGGGGAAUUUUCCGCAAUGGGCGAAAGCCUGACGGAGCAACGCCGCGUGAGGGACGAAGGCCUCUGGGCUGUAAACCUCUUUUCUCAAGGAAGAAGAUAUGACGGUACUUGAGGAAUAAGCCACGGCUAAUUCCGUGCCAGCAGCCGCGGUAAUACGGGAGUGGCAAGCGUUAUCCGGAAUUAUUGGGCGUAAAGCGUCCGCAGGCGGCUUUUCAAGUCUGCUGUUAAAGCGUGGAGCUUAACUCCAUUAUGGCAGUGGAAACUGAAAGGCUUGAGUAUGGUAGGGGCAGAGGGAAUUCCCGGUGUAGCGGUGAAAUGCGUAGAUAUCGGGAAGAACACCAGUGGCGAAGGCGCUCUGCUGGGCCAUUACUGACGCUCAUGGACGAAAGCCAGGGGAGCGAAAGGGAUUAGAUACCCCUGUAGUCCUGGCCGUAAACGAUGAACACUAGGUGUCGGGGGAAUCGACCCCUUCGGUGUCGUAGCUAACGCGUUAAGUGUUCCGCCUGGGGAGUACGCACGCAAGUGUGAAACUCAAAGGAAUUGACGGGGGCCCGCACAAGCGGUGGAGUAUGUGGUUUAAUUCGAUGCAACGCGAAGAACCUUACCAGGGUUUGACAUCCUGCGAACCUCUUAGAAAUUUGAGGGUGCCUUCGGGAAUGCAGUGACAGGUGGUGCAUGGCUGUCGUCAGCUCGUGUCGUGAGAUGUUGGGUUAAGUCCCGCAACGAGCGCAACCCACGUUUUUAGUUGCCAGCAUUUAGUUGGGCACUCUAGAAAGACCGCCGGUGAUAAACCGGAGGAAGGUGUGGAUGACGUCAAGUCAUCAUGCCCCUUACACCCUGGGCUACACACGUACUACAAUGCUACGGACAAAGGGCAGCAAACUCGCGAGAGCUAGCAAAUCCCAUAAACCGUGGCUCAGUUCAGAUCGUAGGCUGCAACUCGCCUACGUGAAGUAGGAAUCGCUAGUAAUCGCAGGUCAGCAUACUGCGGUGAAUACGUUCCCGGGCCUUGUACACACCGCCCGUCACACCAUGGAAGUUGGCCAUGCCCGAAGUCGUUACUCCAACCCUUGUGGAGGAGGACGCCGAAGGUGGGGCUAAUGACUGGGGUGAAGUCGUAACAAGGUAACCGUA
rnacentral:rRNA from 1 species